CUCUCGGUAGCCAAGUUGGUUUAAGGCGCAAGACUGUAAUCGAAAAUUUGAAAUUUGUAAUCUUGAGAUCGGGCGUUCGAAUCGCCCCCGAGAGA
rnacentral:tRNA from 1 species